UAUGUCAAUGGACUUUGAAAAUAUUUGAACUAUUACAAAAACUUUAACAUAAGUGGUUACGCGGACGCCGACGCGGACGCCGACGCUCGGGUGACUGCAAUAGCUCUACUUAUUCUUAUCGAAUAGUCGAGCUAAAAAUUACCAAUAAUGUGAGGCAAGGGCUAGAAAGGGGGGCAUAUGUGUCGUUCGACAUUUCUUGUUUUAUAUUAAAUUUCUUUACAAGUAAACAUUAUCAGGGUUUUCAUUAUUAACCGAUUGGGGAUCCAAAGUAUCAGGUAAAAUGCUAUAAAAAUGGGUUGUAUUUUCAGCCUGUAUAUUAAAGUAUCACCAUUGAACCUUGUCAAAAUUGGUUGUUUUCUUUGGAGCAUCUUUUGCCUCACAUAAAAAUGAAAACCCUGCAUUAUGGUGCCUUUUCAUGUUUGUAGUACCACCACUGGAACGUUUUACAGAUUACUUUAGCUUCAUCAAUUUUAGAAAAGCCAAAGUAUUUCCAUACUUUUGACGAAAAUUAGGCAUCUUUGUACGGUAAACUAUCUCUGUCCAUUUUGCAGAAGAAAAUACAGUAUUUAGCAUAAUCAUAUAAAUACAUUUUUAAAUUCAAGUCAUAGAAUUGAAUAUCAGAGCUUAUGUUUAUUGUUGAUGCAUCCGACUAAAAUUUACUCGAUUUGACUUCCUUGACUUGACAUAUAGUAGUGUGAGACCAUCAUUUGAAGAGAUUGUGUCAGAGACCUGCUACAGGUUUCUGCAACAUGGAAAAAACUAGAAAAUUGAUGAUUUUUGGGAAAAAACGGAUAAAUUUAAUGUUUUUUCCCUGGAUUUUACGAUAAUUUCCAGUUUUUUUGGUUUUUUUAUCAGUUUUUGUCGCAUUUCUUUCUUUAUUUUUGCCGGAGAUGAAACAGCUCUGCUAAAUAGACAAGUAUUCGGAUAUCGACGGAAGUCGUGAGCUUUGCUUCCAUCCGUUUUAACUAUUCCACGAUAAUAUGAAAAACCACGAUAAUACGAGAAACAGGGAUAUCUUUUUGCAUAAUUUAAAAAUUACGACUGGUUUACGCUAAAUGCUUAAAAAAUCCCCCUAUUUAUGGUCCAAAUCCCUAGUCCUAUAACAUAAGGCGUUUCCGUUAGUACUACGUACACUACAAGUGUACACACUGGAGUGUACGUAGUACUAACGGAAACGUCUUAUGUUAUAGGACUACCAAAUCCCUAGUCUGGUUCCCUGCCUACAUUUACUAUGGAAAGUAGUAUAAGGGGAAGGAACUCCAGACUACCAAAUCCCCUGUUUUCUUAAAGACAAAUCUAUUUUGGUGGCUGGAAAUAUUGCAUGUAUGUGCAAGGAUAAAGUGUGGCUACAUGCAAGGAUAAAGUGUGGCUGUCAUAAAAAAUGUACAUAAAUGACUUCAUAAUGCAAGUUAGAAACUCUGGUCAUGCAAAUUCCGUAUGUAUCAAACCAAUAUAGCAAAAAAUUCUAAUAUCUAUAAUAAUUGACCUUUUCGAAAACCUAGCCAAACACCGUUUUCCGGUACGUUACGGAUAUAGCUCUGGGCUGGGACAUACGAUAACGGGACGGGAAACACAGAGAUUAGCGCUCCUGUGUGUUUUCGUCCAAUCGGGAAUCAGCGCCGCCAUUUUACAAAUUUAGUUCAAGGCGGAGGAAAUGUUCGUCAAGAAAAUUGAUCGGUAUGUUUACUUUAUGGGGUUGAAGUCCUCGGAAAGUAAAUAAAAUAAUUCUGUUUAUCGAAGAUUGAAAACUUUCCAUCAGAUGCUUUCUUCACAAACUUCUUUUUGCUUGAGAAUACCAGUAAUGAUGAACAAAAUACUGAGUGUAAGGUCACAUUAGAUACCAUGAAUUUGUCGAUUCAGUUGGACACUCUGCAAAUGAAGUUUAUGCCAUCCAGUUAUCUUGAUUUAUGACAGUGUUGUAAUCAGUGAUUCACCAAGGAUUAAAAUAUGUAUUCGUGACACAGAGAAAAUGAAGUUUGACCUACUUGUGCAUUCAUAUAUCUGAUGAAACAUUUUUUCAAAGCCGCAUGCCUCCAGAUGACCCAAAAUAUUCCAAAGAAAUUACACUUGGAAAAAAAACAUACUAAAACUUUAAGAAAAGUAAACAGAUUAAAGAUUCAAGUGAUAAUCUAUAUCUUAUGUGCAAUUAAUGACUGUAUUUUGCAGUAUUUAUCACCAUAUUUAUACUGCGUUACUAACGCAGUAGGGGCCAUUUAUUAAUUUUAUGCAUAUUUUGACUUCUUUUUGGUAAUUGAUGUAGAUUUCAAUGUGUCAAAUACUUUCUUUGUUCAUUUCACAAUAUUUUACGCUUCAAAAUUUUCUAAAAAAUUAGGAUGAAUCUGGAGGCUUUUAGUAAAAUUACAAUGUUUUCAUAGCGUUUUGGUAUUUCAUUGAAAAGUUAUAUAGAGGAUAUUUGUUUGUUUGUGUGUAAGAUGAAAUUUUAUUUCAUCGAGUGGGCUUUAAAAACAGUAUUCUCACGAGUGGCGAAGCCACGAGUGAGAAUACUGUUUUUAAAGUUCACGAGAUGAAAUAAAAUUACAUCUUACACAACAAACAGACAAAUUUUCUUUUUAUUUUAUGCUUAAAAACAAGUUAAAACGAAAUUUCCAUAAUUUUAACGUUAAUAUUAAAACUGUUUCCCCCAUUGAGAGCCCCAUUUAUUCGGAAUUUCUCAUUAAAAAAAAGAAGUCUUGAGCUGAAAAAUAAGUCCGCCAAUCAACAUUAAAUGACGGUGAUAUUUAUUAAUUUUAUUAAAAAAAUAUGAAUGAUCGCUUGUUUUGAUAAUAAAAACAAACAAUUCUUGUAGGAGAAAAAGUCCAACCAUCCAUCCAUAUUUCUGUUGCUUAGUGCGAAUUUAUAUUAGACCUGGCUUUGUAAAUUGUAAGCGGCAGCCAUUUUUUAAAGUUGUGUAUUUCAUAAUAAUUGUGUAAGAUUCAGAGGGAUAUAAUUUGGAUUUGUUAGUCAUACACAUUUUUAAAAGAAAGAAAACUUAUUUGAGGAUUGUAACAGACAAAAAAUAAGUGUUGACAGAUGUGAAAACAUUCAGAAAAGGAGCUAGGAAAAUGGAAAACUUGGAAACCUGCUCAAGAACGCUGGGUUGAUUUAACUUAUUCUUCGAGUUAUGGCUGUCAAUGCUUUCAAUUUUUCAUAAAGCAUACGGCAGUUAUUGCUCGUAGGAUACUUUAAUAUGCCCAAAUGUCAUCAAGAGCAGUUUUGCAUGGGGAAGGAAUGUAUUUUUGAGACUGUCAAAAUGAAACAAAAAAACGAAAUUUGGUGAUUGGAAUUUCAUGAAUUUGAAUGAAUAGAAGUAAGUUUUCUUCUUUUUAUUACUUUUGACAUUUAAGUUAUUAAUCAAUUUCAGUUUUGCUUUUUCUUUAAACAGCCUGACAUUGUCAGAAUUGUCAGCAAAAAUAAAAUUGAGGUACCACAUGGGGAAAAUCUUAAAAAAGUAGUUUCGUCAUUGAAAAGAGUGAAAUUAUAUUUUGAUAAUUUUCACUGUGAAAUUACCAGAUAUAAUUUUCACGGAUAAAUCAGUAAUCCACUGAAAAGCAUAAAAUAAAAUAAAGAAUUCUCCAUUAUAAUUAUUAAACACACAUGAAUUUGUAUGAAAAUUCACAAUAAAACAUUCUGCGACAAAAUAUACACCUCUACUACUAUUUAAUUAAGUGGGUUUUUUUGGAGCAUAUCAUCUCAUUUUGAAAAAAAUAUGGAUUAUGUAACUAUUGAAUAAUGAUAUAUAUCAUCAAUAUUGUUUUUGCAAUUCAAGAUAACAACUAUAUAGCUUUAUACCCUGAAAUGAAAAGUUGGUAUGCAACGAGUAUUAGUGAAAUAUUUUGUACUCCAAUUAUGUUUACAUUUAUACAGCUAAUAUUCAUAAGAUGAAAUAAAUAUUUAAAAGAAAUCUUUUGUAAUGUGUAAUAUUUUGAUAGGGUGUUUUUUUUAUCAACUAGGUAGUCCUUCAUGCUGCCUAGCUUUUUAAUAAAAGUAUAAAAGACUUUUAAUGAGUCAAUGGUUCAGUUUAAAAAUCACAGAUAUUGUCCACUGGUCUGAUGCAUAUAUAUACAUACAGAAAUGUCACAUGACAAAUGGGUCGAAGCUGGAACUCUAACCAUGGGUAUAUAGGUUGAUGACCAGUAUGCUUACAACUUCACCACAGUGGCCUUUGCAAAUAUGAAUCUGUGUAUUCAUUUCAUAUAUGAACAUUGCAUCUUAAAUGCUAUCUUUUUGAGUUAUAAUUUAUAAUUAAAACUGCCCAGCAAACACAUGACGUUAAAAUAACGUCGGAUUAAUGUUAGAUUUUGGUCACGACGUCGGCGACCAAAAUACGACGUAAAUCUGACGUUAAAAUACCGAUGUCUAAUAGACGUUUCUUUUUGACGUCGUACUAACACCAGGUUCUGGUCGGUGUCCUGACGGUAGGUAAAAAAAUAACAAAAAAUAAUCCUUAUUCGAUCGCUGUUAUAAUCAUUUAAACUUUUUUUCAAAUGUUAUUUGGAUUACAAAUGAAAUGUUCUUAUAUAAAUACAGACCAAGAUCGCGGCGCUGCAACCUAAUAAAACAUAUAGAAGGUGGCGCUGUAUAUAGCGCAAGUUACAUGUGUUAUUGUUAUGAAAUCUAUUUAUAGCCACAGAUCUGUUUACAAGUUCCAAUCAUUUAACGUUAUAAUAUUUUCAAUUGUGGUACAUUAUAUGUAUCAAAAUCACGAGUUUUUUAAUAGUGCUUUAACAUUUAAUCAUAGUGACAGAAAAGGGAAAGAAAACAUAAUUAACCUAUAAUUCGAAUCUAAAGUCACGUGGAUGGAAAUUCAAAUUCGUAGGCGUUAUGUUUUGGCUGUCUGGCAGGAAUCAGGAUGCACUGAUAACGUGAAUAUUAUAGGUUUUCUUGAACAAAAAGGUCAGUUCAAUUUAUUUAGAUUUAUUUCUACUUUGUAUUUGAUAAAUAUUUGCAUGAUUGCAAGCACUCUUAAAUUUAAUUAUCAUUAUUUGAACAGCUGAAGUAAAAUGUCACACAAAUUCGCGAUAAUGUCUAAUAAUAAAUCUUUUUAAAAUUGACAUGUUUUAACUCUGCUUGUAAAGAGUUUAUAAUAUGCCUUUCAGUACUACCAAAGAGAAUGCUUAGUUUUCAUAUUUUUCUUAAACUGUGAUGUUUUUGUCAGUUAAAAUCUGAGAAUUGAGAAUGAAUUUGUACGAUUUCGAGCAUUUCGGACCAAGACGUUUCGGUCCCAAAUAACCCAAAACGUUCCGGUCCAAGAUAACCCAAGACGUUUUGGUUCCAGACAUUUCGGCAUCAAUUCUUUAAUUUAAAACUAUGAAAUAUUUAAGACUUGCGUAACUGUUCUAUUUCAAACGUAGAAUAUAUACAUAACUUGGAAUAUAAUUUUCUUUUCAGGUAGUUAAAGUGUUGGACAUGCUCUCAAAGGUCGGAGGGAGGAAACACGUGAAUAUGUAAAAAGAAACAUAUGACAUGAAAAUGAUGUCACACACGCUAUUGGACGCUACAAACGCUACAUAUCCUCCGGACAGACGAGGGGUGCUGAAAGAAGGUCAUAUCUUUAAGCAUCACACCUCAAAAUUCGUGCUAAUUCUCAUGGAUAUCUAAAAGUAUAACUUUGUGAAGUAACUAAAAGGCAGCAAUUUAUAUAUUACUGACAAUUAUCAAAGGAGGUCAAAAUAUGCAAAAUGGCACUAAAUGUUUUAGAAAUGCUGUAGAAAUAUAGUUAAAAUACUGAAAAUCUGUCAUUAAUUGCUUGAAACAUUAUUAUCAGAAUCUUUUAACUUUUCUUAAAAUUAUAAUAUUUUCAUUAUUUUAUUUGAUAAGGCAAACUUUGAUAGAAAUGUGCAUACAUUGUUUUGUUCUUUAAUAUUUGUACAUAUUUUCUUAGUUUCAUUUAUAUCAUUGUUUUUGUAAUCCCUUUUUGUUUUGUAAUUAACUUAAUUUACGUUUUAUUUUGUUUAAUUUAUAAAAAUUAUUUAACCUUGCAGAAUUUACUAAAAUUGUAUGUAUCCGCUUAAAAUUGCAACUUUUAUUUUAAAUUAAAAAAGCAUUAAACAUAUUUUUGCUUUUAGUUUUCUGUUAUACAUUUCAUUGGAGGGAAAGUUACUUAAUAGAAUGAGUUACAUUAAAUUCGAUCAAAUCAGGAUUAGCCAGAAAAUAUUUAUGACGUGGUGAAACAAAAAAGAUUAGGGGAAUGAUCAGAUGAAGGUCAGAAAAUGACCAGAUUUAGGGCAGAAAAGGGUUAAUAUUUAGGUCGGAAAAUGGUCAGAUUGAGGUCAGAAAAUGGUUAGUAACUGGUUAGAUUUAGGUCGGAAAAUGGUCAGAUUGAGGUCGGAAAAUGGUCAGAUUUUGGUCAGAAGAAGGUUAAAUAAUGGUUAGAUUCUGACGUCUACCUGACGUCAGAUUAUUACGUCAAAAAAAACUUUCAAAUCCAACCGUUUUCCGACCGUCAUCCGACGUCAGAACCUGACUUAAAUCUGCCGUCAGUAUGACGUCUUGUGUUUGCUGGGUGUCAUUCAACAGCAUUUUUGAAAAGAGCAUUGUUGUGUGUAGUAAGAAAACAAUCUAUUCAAAAAUGAAGAUGAAAGCUUAAUAAGAACAUAAUUACAAAUAUAUGUGAAAAAUAUGUUAAACAUCAAAAGGUUUUCUAAGGCCAUUAUACAAACAAACAUUAAUAAAACAAUGGUCAGAUAUUUCAUUAAAUCAGAAAUUAUAACAUGUUAUAAUCAUGUUUAAAGCAGCUGUACACUUUAAUUACAUAAUUAAUAUGCCGUCCCAAUACAAAAUAAUUUGUAUGUUUAUUGACAAAUUUGACAUAAUUAUAUCAUAUAAUUAAUAUAAAUUAAAGUCAGAAAAAAAACACAAUAUAAUUGAAGUUAUUUCUGAACGUAUUUUAAUUACAAAACGUAAAUUUUCUAUCAUAAUUAAAUGUGAGAAAACUUUUAAAUGCCAAUACUAUUCUGUAUUUGUUUAAUAUUUAUUCAUAUUUUCAAAAUUGAUCAAAUGAAAAAGUAUUUAAAAAACGGUAAAUUUACCCAUAACCUUUAAAAAAAGAUGGCCUAUUAAUUCAAUGCCCACCUCCCGAAAUCACCGGAAAAUUUAUGCACGGAAUAUAUCUGAUAAAUCCGGCAUGUACCGUGAUUACGGCGUUUAAACACGGCACUUAUCGAUCGAUCUAUUCCAAUUGGACACCAACAUUGGCACUGAUAAGAAAGCGUGAGUUGCUUGUCCCGUUAUCGUAUGUCCCAGCUCUGGGGAAUUACACCAAAUGAAGUACAUAACACAGUUACAUGAUAUUUCUAUUUUUCUAUCAUUAUUUUACCGUUUAAGGUGUAAAAAAUUGAUGUAUUUGAAAAUUGUCAAUAUUCCUUUAAUAUCUAUUGCAAAUUUUUCAAAAAAUAAAUUGUUUAUAACGAAAAUCAAUAAAAAUAAAACAGACGUAGUGGAAUCUUCCAUAAUAAAUACAGUUAUUUUCUGCGUAAACUUGUGUAUUUACUUUAUUUUUUGUAUGGAAUUAUUCAUACAAUGAUAUUUAAUUAUUUUCUUAUAAAGAAAUAACUGUUUUAUUUCAAUUUAAUUUUGAAAAAGGCCGAAAACAUCGAGUUCGCUCCAUUAGGUGAAUUCGUUUCUUUUCGUUUCGUUCAAAGCCUUGAUAAUGGCCGUGUUGUCACUCCGGUAUUUACAGCUAAACUCUGGUAUUUCCGAUAACGGUAAAAACUCUGAAGUAGGGUUACAAUAAUUUAAUAAUGAUUAUGAAAUAGAAUCUAUACUGGAGAAUAAAUAAAAAAAAAAAAAAAGAAUUCCCCCAGAGCUAUGUACAGAAAGUACGGCAAAAACAGCGUUUAGCAAGAUUUCGAAUUCGGGAUUUAGCUGAAUACGGGAUUGGAGCAGUACCUCUAGACGCUUGCAGAAAUCAUGAUCACAAAAUAGACAAAUAUCGUUUUUUUCGCCGAAUUUUACAUUUUUCCUUGAUUAUCGUACUUGAUUCGGUGUGAAAAGAUGAAUUAGACCUGUUAAAGUUCAUUCCGUUGGGCAAAAAGACAAGAUUUUAGCAUUUUAUCAUUCAAGCGCCUUGUCCGGUAUAUACCGGAAUACGGUAUUUAGUGUGGUGCUCCAAUCCUUUUUUUAGUCACAGCCUCGAAUUUGUGAAUAUGACUAUUCUCUCCCUAACCGGUUCCUCUCCCUGACGGUUCUCUCCCUAACCGUUUCCUCCCCCGACGGUUCUCUCCCAAAUUUGAAAUAUGCAGACAGUUCUCCCCCAUUUUUUCUAUAAGUUAUUAUUUUAGUUUUGACUUUAUCUAAUAAUAUUUCUUAAUGAAGAUUAUUAAAAGAAUGUGUUUGAUAUUAAUGCAUUUUAUGUUUUAUGUUUAUCAGCUGAAAAGUGUUUGUAAAUUUAACACCUUUUUUGGUAUUUUAAUCCUAUGAACACCUUCAUUGUGAGAGAUACAGAUUAUUGGACAGUGAUUGGACACCUGUAAUUAUGUUAAGGUCUAGCUUGUAAAUACUUAUUCAUCAACACCUUUUCACAGCUGUUUUAAUCUAAUCAGCACCUUGAUUCUUGAGUAAUAAAUAAAUAAAUAAACACCUCAAUUAUCACUAACAGCAAACUUAACACGUGUGUGUAUUGAACUCCUUUUUUCAUUAUACAAAAGUAAAAAAUUUAGCAAUUAAAAUUCAUUAAUCAUAUUUUGCUUAUAAAUUUCACAUUUAUUUAUUUAAAAAAAAAAAUAAUAACAAUACUGGUUUGGGAGAUAAACUCGGCCGAAAAUCAGUGUUUUGGGGGCAUAUUUCAUUUAUUUGUUUACGUAUUCUGAUGAAUCUUGCACCAUAAUAAACUUCAGCUCUUCGAUUUUCCGGUAUCACCAUAAAAGUUAUAUUUAGAAACAUUAAACGGGUAAUUUUGAGAGGCCUGGAAGAUGUGCGAAAAAAUGAUAUUUUUAACGCGCGCGAGUAGAUAAUUCCGGCUCUUUGUUUUUCUUCUUAAAUGAGUAAGUAAAAACGUAAAAUAACAUG